rnacentral:rRNA from 1 species
GAUGAACGCUGGCGGCGUGCCUAAUACAUGCAAGUAGAACGCUGAAGGAAGGAGCUUGCUCUUUCCGGAUGAGUUGCGAACGGGUGAGUAACGCGUAGGUAACCUGCCUGGUAGCGGGGGAUAACUAUUGGAAACGAUAGCUAAUACCGCAUAACAGUAGAUGUUGCAUGAUAUCUACUUAAAAGGUGCAAUUGCACCACUACCAGAUGGACCUGCGUUGUAUUAGCUAGUUGGUGAGGUAACGGCUCACCAAGGCGACGAUACAUAGCCGACCUGAGAGGGUGAUCGGCCACACUGGGAAUGGGACACGGCCCAGACUCCUACGGGAGGCAGCAGUAGGGAAUCUUCGGCAAUGGACGGAAGUCUGACCGAGCAACGCCGCGUGAGUGAAGAAGGUUUUCGGAUCGUAAAGCUCUGUUGUAAGAGAAGAACGAGUGUGAGAGUGGAAAGUUCACACUGUGACGGUAUCUUACCAGAAAGGGACGGCUAACUACGUG